rnacentral:rRNA from 1 species
GAUGAACGCUGGCGGCGUGCCUAAUACAUGCAAGUCGAGCGAACAGACGAGGAGCUUGCUCCUCUGACGUUAGCGGCGGACGGGUGAGUAACACGUGGAUAACCUACCUAUAAGACUGGGAUAACUUCGGGAAACCGGAGCUAAUACCGGAUAACAUGUUGAACCGCAUGGUUCAACAGUGAAAGACGGUCUUGCUGGCACUUAUAGAUGGAUCCGCGCCGCAUUAGCUAGUUGGUAAGGUAACGGCUUACCAAGGCAACGAUGCGUAGCCGACCUGAGAGGGUGAUCGGCCACACUGGAACUGAGACACGGUCCAGACUCCUACGGGAGGCAGCAGUAGGGAAUCUUCCGCAAUGGGCGAAAGCCUGACGGAGCAACGCCGCGUGAGUGAAGAAGGUCUUCGGAUCGUAAAACUCUGUUAUUAGGGAAGAACAAAUGUGUAAGUAACUAUGCACGUCUUGACGGUACCUAAUCAGAAAGCCACGGCUAACUACGUG